ACCUGCAUUAUUUGACGUUACCUACAGAAGAAGCACCGGCUAACUCCGUGCCAGCAGCCGCGGUAAUACGGAGGGUGCGAGCGUUAAUCGGAAUUACUGGGCGUAAAAGCGCAUGCAGGUGGUUUGUUAAGUCAGAUGUGAAAAGCCCGGGCUCAAACCUCGGAAAUAGCAUUUGAAAACUGGCAGACUAGAGUACUGUAGGAGGGGGUAGAAUUUCAGGUGUAGCGGUGAAAAUGCGUAGAGAUCUGAAGGAAUACCGGUGGCGAAGGCCGGCCCCUGGACAGAUACUGACACUCAGAUGACGAAAGCGUGGGGAGCAAACAGGAUUAGAUACCCUGGUAG
rnacentral:rRNA from 1 species